AAUCGCGCAUCAGCCACGGCGCGGUGAAUACGUUCCCGGGCCUUGUACACACCGCCCGUCAAGCCAUGAAAGCCGGGGGUACCUGAAGUCCGUAACCGUAAGGAGCGACCUAGGGCAAAACUGGUGACUGGGGCUAAGUCGUAACAAGGUACC
rnacentral:rRNA from 1 species